UACGAAGGGGGCUAGAGUUGCUCGGAAUCACUGGGCGUAAAGCGCACGUAGGCGGAUUGUUAAGUCAGGGGUGAAAUCCUGGAGCUCAACUCCAGAACUGCCUUUGAUACUGGCGAUCUUGAGUCCGGGAGAGGUGAGUGGAACUGCGAGUGUAGAGGUGAAAUUCGUAGAUAUUCGCAAGAACACCAGUGGCGAAGGCGGCUCACUGGCCCGGUACUGACGCUGAGGUGCGAAAGCGUGGGGAGCAAACAGG
rnacentral:rRNA from 1 species